UUACUAUCUAGCCGGAAGGGACAUAGAGGGCAUUGUAUGAAACACUAACUGCUGUGUGUGUGUAUUCUAUGGUGGCUGUGUGAACGGAGUGGCCCACCUCCCACGGUUUGAGUCUCCACCAGCCUCUAGGAGGAAGGGGAGAGGACAGCAGGUUGGACACCUCACCUCAGAGUCUAGCCAUCGAGGAACCACUAGUUCCAUCUGUUUCCCCCCCACCUGCCAUUGGAUGCUGGCCCCGAGUCCCCUCGACUACCUGAAACGUCGAAUUGGAGGAGAAAUGAAGGGCACCACGGAAAUAACUUACACCACAGGAAGUGGGCCGGGACGAAGGAGCUCCGUCCGGUCCUUUCCCUGGGACUACUUACCUGGCUGGACUCCCUUCCCCUUUGCUCUCUGGACCCCCGUCGUCUCCUGGAGAAGAGAGAGAGUUAUUUGUCCCCCUUACACACUCCCAACUGAUUUUAAUUAACUUAAUAAAGAUUUUUAUGUUUUACUUG